rnacentral:rRNA from 1 species
CCGCGUGAGGGAUGAACGCUUCGGGUUGUAAACCUCUUUCAGCAGGGAAUAAGCGAAGUGAAGGUACCUGCAGAAGAAGCACCGGCUAACUAUGUGCCAGCAGCCGCGGUAAUACAUAGGGUGCAAGCGUUGUCCGGAAUUAUUGGGCGUAAAGAGCUCGUAGGUGGUCGAUCACGUCGGAUGUGAAAAUCUGAGGCUUAACCUCAGACCUGCAUUCGAUACGGGUUGACUAGAGUGUGGUAGGGGAGACUGGAAUUCCUGCUGUAGCGGUGGAGUGCGCAGAUAUCAGGAGGAACACCGAUGGCGAAGGCAGGUCUCUGGGCCAUUACUGACACUGAGGAGCGAAAGUGUGGGGAGCGAACAGGAUUAGAUACCCUGGUAGUCCACACCGUAAACGGUGGGCGCUAGUUGUGGGAACCUUCCACGGUUUCUGCGACGCAGCUAACGCAUUAAGCGCCCCGACUGGGGAGUACGGUCGCAAGACUAAAACUCAAAGAAAUUGACGGAGACCCGAACAAAGCAGCGGAGCAUGCGGCUUAAUUCGACGCAAAGCGAGAAACUUACAAAGCUUGACAUUUACAGGAAUUAGGCAGAAAUGUCGUAGCCGCAAGGCUGCAUCCGCGUGGUGCAUGGUUGCGUCAGCUCGUUCGAGAAUGAGGUUAGUCCCGAAGAAGGAACCUCGUCGGUACCGACUUUUGGGGCACGGAAAGCGGGCACCGAGAGG